rnacentral:rRNA from 1 species
AUGAAUUGUAUAAGUUGGAACUGCCGGGGGCUUGGGAACCCCGAGGCAGUUCGUGAGCUUCGCAGCAUUGUGAAGCAAGAAGUUCCUGCCCUGCUGCUUGUAAUGGAGACUAAAAUCAGGGCGAAAAGAGUUGAAGAUUUGCGUUACCAGCUAGGUUUCGCGGGAUGUUUUGCAGUGGACAGUGAAGGACUAAGCAGUGGCAUAGGUCUUUUCUGGUCCAAGGAAUAUGAUGUUCAGUUCAAAAACUAUAGUUCCGGCCAUAUUGAUUCAUUGGUGCGGAUGAAGGAUCAAAGCUCGUUCGAGUGGCGAUUCACGGGCUUCUAUGGAGCACCCACAGCUGAGAAUAGACACCACAGUUGGCGCUUCAUGAGAACUUUGUAUGCACAGCUGCAUGCUGCGUGGCUAUGCAUGGGUGACUUUAACGAGACACUGUAUGGUGACGAGCACUUUAGCCGUUCGGCUCGGCCGGAAUGGCAAAUGCGAGCUUUCAGAGAGGUGGUUGAGGAGGUUGGUUUCCAAGAUCUAGGGUGGACUGGACUGCCCUACACCUGGGAUAAUAGGAAGGAUGGAGAUGCUAACGUAAAGGCCAGGCUUGAUCGCGCUUUUGCAAACGAGGUUUUUCGCCAGCAUUAUGAGUUCAUCCAAGUACGGCACAUUAGUGCGGUAGAGUCGGACCACUGUUUCGUCGUUGCGGAGAUCAGAGAUAAACCACAUGAUCAGGGGGCGGCGAUCGAAACAGUUUCGCUAUGA